rnacentral:lncRNA from 10 species
CAAGUGGGGACGGAAUUCUCGUCCAGGACAGUCAGGCUAAGAGGAUUUUCUUCUUAACAUUUUAUCUUCAGAUUCAAAUGCUUUGGACAGACUCACCGACUGCCCGGCUGAGAGAAUCUGUGAGGUCUACCUGCCUAGCAAUUUGCCUUUGCACGGUCCUCCUGUGAGGAGUGAGGACACACAGCCUUCAAGGACUCUCCAUUAAUGGAUGCCAGACUAUAGACAAAGCCAUUAAAGCUUUAGUUAAAAAGCACGGAACCAGUCCCUUCCCACACUGACUUAGGGCUUGGCCAUGUGACUUGCCAAUGUGACUUGUCAAUGGAAUAUCAGCAAAUAUGACAUAAGCUAAAGCUUGAAGAGCACUUGUACACUGGGGCUUACUCGCUUGGAACAUUGCCACCAUGUGACAAAACUCAUGCUAGCUUCCUGAAGACACAUGGCCCAGCCAACAGCCAGCACCAGCUUCCAGAAAAAUGAGUGAGACUCUAUAACCAUCCAGCCCCAGUUGAGUCAACAAGAAAACCACCUGAGAGAUCCCAGGCAAGCCAGCAGACAAACCACCUAGCUGAGCCCUGCC